ACGCUAGCUACAGGCUUAACACAUGCAAGUCGAGGGGAAACGACAUCGAAAGCUUGCUUUUGAUGGGCGUCGACCGGCGCACGGGUGAGUAACGCGUAUCCAACCUGCCCAUCACUUGGGGAUAACCUUGCGAAAGUAAGACUAAUACCCAAUGAUAUCUCUAGAAGACAUCUGAAAGAGAUUAAAGAUUUAUCGGUGAUGGAUGGGGAUGCGUCUGAUUAGCUUGUUGGCGGGGUAACGGCCCACCAAGGCGACGAUCAGUAGGGGUUCUGAGAGGAAGGUCCCCCACAUUGGAACUGAGACACGGUCCAAACUCCUACGGGGGGCAGCAGUGAGGAAUAUUGGUCAAUGGGCGAGAGCCUGAACCAGCCAAGUAGCGUGCAGGAUGACGGCCCUAUGGGUUGUAAACUGCUUUUAUAAGGGAAUAAAGUGAGUCUCGUGAGACUUUUUGCAUGUACCUUAUGAAUAAGGACCGGCUAAUUCUGUGCCAGCAGCCGCGGUAAUACGGAAGGUCCGGGCGUUAUCCGGAUUUAUUGGGUUUAAAGGGAGCGUAGGCCGGAGAUUAAGCGUGUUGUGAAAUGUAGACGCUCAACGUCUGCACUGCAGCGCGAACUGGUUUCCUUGAGUACGCACAAAGUGGGCGGAAUUCGUGGUGUAGCGGUGAAAUGCUUAGAUAUCACGAAGAACUCCGAUUGCGAAGGCAGCUCACUGGAGCGCAACUGACGCUGAAGCUCGAAAGUGCGGGUAUCGAACAGGAUUAGAUACCCUGGUAGUCCGCACGGUAAACGAUGGAUGCCCGCUGUUGGUCUGAAUAGGUCAGCGGCCAAGCGAAAGCAUUAAGCAUCCCACCUGGGGAGUACGCCGGCAACGGUGAAAC
rnacentral:rRNA from 1 species